rnacentral:tRNA from 1 species
GGAAGGUUGACCGAGAGGAAUGGUGCCGGAUUGCUAAUCCGAGGCCAGGGUAACACCUGCACAGGUUCAAAUCCUGUACCUUCCGCCA